CUGGUAACUGUGCAGGGGCGGAUCUAGCAAAGUUUAGCCAGGGGGGCCGAUAGGGCAUUAACAGGGAAAAGGGGGCACAAAGACAUACUUUUCUUUCUUAUUCUCAUUUAAAAUGUCUAGCUUUUAAUAAAUAAUUAUCUGACACCCAAAGUUUUAAUUUGAUGUAAAAUGAAUAGAAGUCAAUUACUGUAUAUAGUGACUAUUAAGUCUAAUAUAUAUACCCUAGUAAGCUAUAGUACUUUUUCCUUUGGGAAGGUACCAUCUGUGCAGUCUGCAAUUUUGUUGAAGAAAGAUGUUGAAUCUAUUUAAUAUUUCUUGAAAAAUAAUUGAUUUCUGUGCAUUUUUUUUCCACACUGCAUCAAAUUAAGGUUGAUUACGUCGAUUAAGCAUCAUGAGGUGGAGCGUGAGGGGUGGUUCCCUAUUUUUUAUUUAUUUAUUUUUGUUGUUGCUGGGAGUUGGAACCCUAUUAGUUAGGUUGCUUAAUAUUUAUGCUAAGUACUCUUUAAAAUACCAGAAUAGGGAGGAUGGUGUAGGUUUAAGUUUAUUAGAUUGAUCAGUAUUGCUGAACUAUGAAAUAUUUUUUUUUGCAUACAGGUAUAACAGAAUAGCUUUAGUGUAGUUGUUGUUUUAAACUUGAGUAUGAACUUAUACAAAAUGCAGCAAGAUAUUUAAAAAACAGUUUUGUUGAUUAAAAAACACUAUAUCGGAUUCAUAUCGGUAUCGGCAGAUAUCCAAAUUUAUGAUAUCGGUAUCGUAUCGGACAUAAAAAAGUGGUAUCGUGCCAUCUCUAGUAUGUAUGUGCAUCCAUCAGGAGCGUGCUUCAGCAUCAUCCGUGGGCGCUGCCUCUCCCCUGGUAUUCCCUGGUAUUCCCCUGGUAGGCCCGGUAUUCACCCGGUAUGCCCAUGUAUCCUUAGCUUGGUUCCCCCUAGCUGGCCCUUUGCUCUCCACUUGGUUGGU
ensembl:lncRNA